AUGUCAUUUUCUAUAUUGAAUGCCUUCACGUUAUGGACGAAUCUCCAUGGAGAAAUCUGGUACAUAACUGAAAACAAAUGCCUGAAACAGAACCUAUCCAGAAGAGAUAAAGAUGCAACUCACUGGAGGAGCUGUGCUAGACUAUAUCAAGUCCUCCACACGCAUAACCCAACUGUCUGCAACUUGUCGCCUUUGAGGCCUACAUUACUAUCCCAAGCAGCAGACUGCAGAAAAGGCUUUGAGUUUAAUAAGCAUCUUGCCUGAAGUCACUCAGCUGGUUGAUUUAGCCAAGAUUUAACUCAAAUGGUUUCAUCCAAAGCCCCCUGAUGUCCACCGUCCCACCACUCUGCCUCUUAACACAACAGAGUACUUGCCAAGUGACAGUCACAUUCCUUCCUCUGAAACUCCAACAUCCCCUGUGGAAAAUCCUUUGUAAAGAGAGACCAGGGUAUGUCCUCCAGUUUCUAUAGUUUACCAACCCUGGGCAUUCAUCUUGUCUGGAUUGAACUUCAGCCAGUUCAUUUUUAGCCAAGUUUCCAACUUAGGCAGCCAGUGGGCAAAACACAAA
rnacentral:lncRNA from 1 species